rnacentral:rRNA from 1 species
CAAAGGCCCCAAAGGAAGCCACGGCUAACUCUGUGCCAGCAGCCGCGGUAAUACAGAGGUGGCAAGCGUUGUUCGGUAUUAUUGGGCGUAAAGAGCACGUAGGUGGUUUUGUAAGUCAGAUGUGAAAGCCUUCUGUUCAAAGGAAGAACGGCAUCUGAAACUGCAGAUCUUGAGUGUAGGAGGGGAGAGUGGAACUUCUGGUGGAGCGGUGAAAUGCGUAGAUAUCAGAAGGAACGUCGGCGGCGAAAGCGACUCUCUGGCCUAUUACUGACACUGAGUGUGCGAAAGUUAGGGGAGCAAACGGGAUUAGAUACCCCGGUAGUCCUAACUGUGAA